GAAUGUGCAGUCAAUCUGUCUGAGACAUCUGUCACUGCAUUGAUCCCCAGAGGUGAUUUGAAUGAUCAGGCUGGUGAAGCAGGUUGCCCCUCCCUACUUCACUGACCCAAGUACAUAACCUCUCAAAGCUUCCACUAUUGGAAGGAGCUGACCAAUUCUAAUAGAGGAGGGUCAUUCUCUGGUCAGGGGUAGAGGAAUAGAGGUAUAUAGUUAGGGGUUCAUUUCCCUGCUCCAACCUCUACACAAGCUCUUGAGUUCAAUUACCCAUGACUGCUAUUUACUCUGCAUUCAAUCACUCACUCCCUCCAUAGCCUGAGGUAAUGCUAGAGGG
rnacentral:snRNA from 1 species